rnacentral:rRNA from 1 species
GUCCUAUCACGCACGCAUAGUCCAGCAGCUUCUCCAGCAAGAGCCAUUACAAAAGUGAUCUAAAAAAGCCAUUAAAAAAAGAAAUCCCCACCGAGCUCCCACUGUCUGCGUGGACCUUAUCCACAUCUCCGUUCCUUCUCCAGUAGCGAUGCUGCUCUCCUUCUCCGCUUCUCUCUAUCAUCCAGCGAUUUCCCCGGCGUCUCCCCGCCUAACAAAUUCUUCGCGUCUGCGUAUGGGCUGCUGGUGGCCGGGCGUGAGCGCCCAGGGGCUGGCUGGGCCUGCGGCUGCUCAGGGGCCGUGUGGAUCUGCGCCGGGGUUGCUGCGGGCUUCGGGACCAGAUCUCGCCGGUGGGCGCGGGGGAAGCUCGGCUUGAGGUUGUGGUGGCUGCGUGCAGUGCGGCUGCCCAUGGAGCGCGAGAUGGGGCCGGCAGGGAUGGUGGGUGGCCCGUGCAGUGCGGCCGCCCUGUGAGUUUUCUCGUCCAUCUCUGUACAAUUUUUCUGAAUCUUCACAUGGGCUUUCUUCUCCUUCUUUAAGAACUCAAAUGGCAAAUUUGCUGUGACAUUUUUCUCUGUAUAAGCUAGGCACCCAGUGCUGCUAUUUUUGAUUCAUGCAUGACCUUCCUCUCUGCCUCCCUCUCGGCCUCGCUUCAGAAUUAUCGAUUGGGCUU